UACAGAGGUCCCGAGCGUUAGGCGGAAUCACUGGGCUUAAAGCGUGUGUAGGCGGAUGCCUAAGUACCUUGUGAAAUCCCACGGCUCAACCGUGGAACUGCUCGGUAUACUGGGUGUCUUGAGCCAGAUAGGGGCGACCGGAACAGACGGUGGAGCGGUGAAAUGCGUAGAUAUCGUCUGGAACGCCAAUGGUGAAAACAGGUCGCUGGGUCUGUGCUGACGCUGAGACACGAAAGCCAGGGGAGCAAACGGG
rnacentral:rRNA from 1 species